rnacentral:tRNA from 1 species
AGCGGGGUAGGGCAGCCAGGAGUGCCCGGAGGGCUCAUAACCCUCAGGUCGGUGGUUCAAAUCCACUCCCCGCUACCA